AUGGUCAAGACGAGGAGCGAGAGGGGUAGGAUAGCUUCCGGCUCAGAGCCGCCCUCCAGGUCCGCCGGUGGAAAGCUGAAGAGGACCCGCUUUCAUGGCCGGUUUGGCACGAAGUCCUUUCAUGGUGGCAGUCCACAACUCCCCCGACAGCCCACGGCUUCCUUCACCGACUGGUGUGCGUACUCGUGUUCCCACGCUCCUGACUCCCACCGUCGAGGUCUCUCCUUCAUCGUUAUCGUCACAGAGUGGUAUCUGUGGAAGCACCGCAAUGCAUACAUUUUCGAUCAUUCUCGCCCCUCCGUCAACUACGUGAUGCAAUUCAUCCAUGAAGACGGGAGAUGUUGGGCCAAAGCCGGCACCACCAGGAUAGGUAACACCAUUCCCGAGGUUUAG
rnacentral:rRNA from 1 species